rnacentral:rRNA from 1 species
AUUGAACGCUGGCGGAAUGCUUUACACAUGCAAGUCGAACGGUAGAGGGGCAACCCUUGAGAGUGGCGAACGGGUGAGUAAUGUAUCGGAACAUGCCCAGUCGUGGGGGAUAACGUAGCGAAAGUUACGCUAAUACCGCAUACGAUCUAUGGAUGAAAGCGGGGGAUCGCAAGACCUCGCGCGAUUGGAGUGGCCGAUAUCAGAUUAGGUAGUUGGUGGGGUAAAGGCCUACCAAGCCGACGAUCUGUAGCUGGUCUGAGAGGACGACCAGCCACACUGGGACUGAGACACGGCCCAGACUCCUACGGGAGGCAGCAGUGGGGAAUUUUGGACAAUGGGCGCAAGCCUGAUCCAGCCAUUCCGCGUGCAGGAAGAAGGCCUUCGGGUUGUAAACUGCUUUUGUACGGAACGAAACGCGCUGAGCUAAUACCUCGGCGUAAUGACGGUACCGUAAGAAUAAGCACCGGCUAACUACGUGCCAGCAGCCGCCGCUG